UGGUGUGGUUGUUGCUGGCCCUCUUGGGGGCAUGUGCACACCUACCAUCCUCAUCUCUCCACCUGUGCACCUCUUGUAGAUUUGGAAUUGAUUAUCCGAGGCAACUCGGUCGUGAGGACUGCUAGCACCUAGCUGGCUUUCUUUGCAAUUCCAGGUCUAUGUUUUUCAUAUACCCCAUUGUAUGUAACAGAAUGUAUCAUUGGGCCCUUGUGCCUAUAAACCUUAUACAACUUUCAGCAACGGAUCUCUUGGCUCUCGCAUCGAUGAAGAACGCAGCGAAAUGCGAUAAGUAAUGUGAAUUGCAGAAUUCAGUGAAUCAUCGAAUCUUUGAACGCACCUUGCGCUCCUUGGUAUUCCGAGGAGCAUGCCUGUUUGAGUGUCAUUAAAUUCUCAACUGUUAUCAACUUUUGCUGAUAAUGGCUUGGAUGUGGGGGUCUAUUUUGCUGGCUUCUUCUCAGAUAGUCAGCUCCCCUUAAAUGCAUUAGCUGGUGCCCCGCGUGGACUGUCUAUUGGUGUGAUAAUUAUCUACGCUAUGGACAUCUGCAAUCAUAUGGGUUUGCGCUGCUUCUAACAGUCUGUUGAUUCAGACAAUACAUGACAAUUUGACCUCAAAUCAGGUAGGACUACCCGCUGAACUUAAGCAUAUCAAUA
rnacentral:rRNA from 1 species